AACGCACCUUGCACUCUUUGGUUAUUCCGAAGAGUAUGCCUGUUUGAGUGUCGCGAACCUCUCAACCCCGCUUCAAUUAUUGAAGUAGUUUGGGCUUGGAUCAUGGUCAUCUGUUGGACUUGCACAAGUUCAACUUGACUGAAAUACAACAAGCUGGAUAGAGACUUGUGCGGCUUGACCUGAUGUUGUAGUAAUCAACUCAUUAGGGACGCAUGGCUUCUAAGGAGCUUAGACAAAUUAGACUAUACAAAUCAGACCUCAAAUCAGGUAGGACUACCCGCUGAACUUAA
rnacentral:misc_RNA from 1 species